rfam:Phytophthora infestans T30-4 supercont1.37 genomic scaffold, whole genome shotgun sequence.
GUCAGUGUCGUCCAGUGGUUAGGACGCGAGCUUCACACGCUCGAGAUCGAGGGUUCGAUCCCCUUCUCUGAUA